rnacentral:rRNA from 1 species
CCCUUAGAUGUUCUGGGCCGCACGCGUGCUACACUGAGUAAUUCAAUGGGUAAGGGAACGCUAGAGCAUUACCUAAUCUUGAAAUUUGCUCGUGAUGGGGAUCGACGGUUGCAAUUUUCCGUCGUGAACGAGGAAUACCUUGUAGGCGCAUGUCAUCAUCAUGCGCCGAAUACGUCCCUGCCCUUUGUACACACCGCCCGUCGCUCCUACCGAUUGAGUGAUCCGGUGAGGCUCUGGGACCUGGACGGAAAGAGCGUUUCGCGUGUUCUGUUUGGGAAACUUGGUCGAACCUUAUCAUUUAGAGGAAGGAGAAGUCGUAACA